rnacentral:snRNA from 20 species
AUACUUACCUUAUAAAGAGGAGCCGGAGCUCAGGAAUUCUGGUCCUCUGGCUUUCUCGUCACCAUUGCACAUCGGUUUCGUUAGAUUGCCAUCAGCUAUCUUCGGGUAUCUGAUUUGUGCAAUUUUUGCUUGAACUAUCCUAUUGGCUUUGUCAAUACAUCUUC